rnacentral:rRNA from 1 species
UACGUAGGGUGCGAGCGUUAAUCGGAAUUAUUGGGCGUAAAGAGCUCGUAGGCGGUUUGUCGCGUCGGCCGUGAAAUCUCCACGCUUAACGUGGAGCGUGCGGUCGAUACGGGCAGACUUGAGUUCGGUAGGGGAGACUGGAAUUCCUGGUGUAGCGGUGAAAUGCGCAGAUAUCAGGAGGAACACCGGUGGCGAAGGCGGGUCUCUGGGCCGAUACUGACGCUGAGGAGCGAAAGCGUGGGGAGCGAACAGG